UACAGAGGGGGCAAGCGUUGUUCGGAAUUACUGGGCUUAAAGGGCGCGUAGGCGGCCUUCUAAGUCGAACGUGAAAUCCCCGGGCUCAACCCGGGAACUGCGUCCGAUACUGGAAGGCUUGAAUCCGGGAGAGGGAUGCGGAAUUCCAGGUGUAGCGGUGAAAUGCGUAGAUAUCUGGAGGAACACCGGUGGCGAAGGCGGCAUCCUGGACCGGCAUUGACGCUGAGGCGCGAAAGCCAGGGGAGCAAACGGG
rnacentral:rRNA from 1 species